GUAGGUGAACCUGCGGAAGGAUCAUUAUUGAAUUAUGUUUUCUAGAUGGGUUGUAGCUGGCUCUUCGGAGUAUGUGCACGCCUGUCUGGACUUCAUUUUCAUCCACCUGUGCACCUUUUGUAGUCUUUUUCAGGUAUUGGAGGAAGUGGUCAGCCUAUCAGCUCUUUGCUGGAUGUAAGGACUUGCAGUGUGAAAACAGUGCUGUCCUUUACCUUGGCCAUGGAAUCUUUUUCCUGUUAGAGUCUAUGUUAUUCAUUAUACUCUUAGAAUGUCAUUGAAUGUCUUUACAUGGGCUAUGCCUAUGAAAAUUAUUAUACAACUUUCAGCAACGGAUCUCUUGGCUCUC
rnacentral:misc_RNA from 1 species